rnacentral:rRNA from 1 species
UACGUAGGGGGGCAAGCGUUGUCCGGAUUUAUUGGGCGUAAAGGGCGCGUAGGCGGUUUCUUAAGUUUUGAAGUGACAGUGGGUGGCUUAACUACCCAAGGCCUUUGAAAACUGGGGAACUUGAGGACCAGAGAGGGACAUAGAAUUCCGGGUGGAGUGGUGAAAUGCGUAGAUAUCCGGAGGAAUACCAAAGGCGAAGGCAGUG